rnacentral:lncRNA from 1 species
UUAAUAAGUUUUAGAAACGUUUAAAGUUGCUUCGUGAUGAAGUUUGAGAUAAAGUAUUGACUUUUGAUUUGGUUUUGUAAUGACAAUAAUUUAUUACGUUUCUUGUCUUCCAUAAAUAAAGUUGUGUAAAAUCAUUAAAAAAUAAAAUGUUUCAUAGAAAUAAUUUAAAAUCAUGGAUUGCUGAUAUUGGUGGUAAAAAUAUAUAGAAUUACAAUGAGGAUUCUACAUUUUUGGCAUAUCGUCCUUGUAAUUAUGGAACAAUAGUCCUGAAGAUAAUUAAAUUAAAACAACACUGUAAAACCCCCAUUCACAAAAGGAAUUUGGAACUGUAUACAAGUCAUAUAAUUAUUUGCAAUUCUGAAAACAUUCCAAUUUUACUACAGAUAUAACCAAAAUUCUUAUCUCUUGCAAUAUUCCAAUCCAUAUUGUUAAUCAUCCAAAUUUGGUUAAGUUCAUGGAAGUUUACACUGGCAAAGUAAUUCCCUCUUGGAGAAGACUAUAUCACUUGAUUUUGAUGGAUUAAGGUGAGCCCAUUUGUUUUCCGCCAUUUCAGAGCCAAAUCUAUAGCAUCCUGCAUCCCAUUGACAAGGGUGCUAGGGGUUUUAUCCCUUAUAAAUAGAAGGAUAUCAUCUGUAUAACUGCAUAAUCUGCAUUAUUAAUAAUAUCAAUGCAAAUUAUGUAACAAUAACGUGUCGAUGACUUAGGAUUCGAUAUAUAAACAGGCAGCAGUUUCUUGAUUCAUACAAUCAACUCUCUCCAUUCAUUAGUUUAGAGUAUUACCAUUAUAGGUCAACACACCAAUGAUCCACACUGGGUCGUUUUAUUUCAUUUGAGAAAGGAUUCAUCCUUGAUAAACACAAAGUAAAAAAAUGUGUUAAUACUUAAAUAAUACAUAAUACUAAUACAUACAAUAGAGAAACCGUUCCUACCUAUACACCAUUGAUAGACACAAAGUCGGUUUGAAAACUUGCGUGAGAUUAUGAAAGAAACAUAGUGAAAGAGAGAAUUUCUUUUGAAGUUAUAGACAUUAGUCCCCAAUGGACUCAGAUUUGAAUUGAGUAUAAACAUUGGAGUAAUUUCUGUCUAUGAGUUUGUUCUUACUUCUUCCUAUGUAUAUACGGAGGAGGAUUUGUGUUUUUUUUCUUUUUGACUUUCUUAGGGGUGCUCACAGCUAAUCCCAUAAACCAUCAUUACAGUUAAGCUGCUCUACUCUCAAAUAUUCUUCAAAUUGUGAGGGUUUCCACGUUAAUUUUCGGUUUCUUUUUUUUAAAAUACCGGGAGGGUAUAUAAUAUCAAGGAUUACUAAAACUACUGGAGAGGAAAGUAAAAUAUCGCCCUCACACAAUGAGGCGGACUCUUCUCCUGUAACUACAAAAAUGAGAAAUGACAAGUAUGAUUGAUGAAAAUUUAUCGUAUAAAUAAGGUGUGACACAUAAAGAUUGUCGUUUUUGAUUUCUCACUAUUUCCACCAUGUUGCUUGGUUUGAUCCUGCUAAAACAAAAUGAUACAAAUAGAAUACUUUUCCUUGCUUGUUUUGAAUGUUUCUUCAUAAAUAGAUCCUCUGAAAAAUUAAAAUAAGUUGUAUUUUAUUGUUCCUGAGUGCAAGUGACAAAUUGGGAAAUAUUUGCCAUCCAAAAUAGUAAUGUCUCCCAGAUACAAGACGAGGGUGGCUGACGUGGUCUGAUUACUCGUUAGAAUUGCUAAGAAGAUGGCUGCUGUGGAACUUGGGGUCAGUUUGAGGUUUGUUAAGAGAUGAUGGAUAUUGUGUCUUGACGAGGUUGAGGAGACACAAACUAUUUAUACAAAGGAAUCCAGGAAGACCGAGAGAAUUGCGAAGAGGAAAGACGUGGAGGAAUAACACAAGGCUUGUUUAAUAGGAACCAUUAUAUUCUUAUUAAUACAAAACAUUACUUGUAUUUAUAUAUAUAUAAUACAUGGCUAUUUAUACUUAUAAAGAGGACAAUACAAAAAAUAAGUGAAUAAGAGGGAAGGGGACAGAAAUACAUUACAAUGGGCAACUCAUGAGUGUAGUGAGAGUAAAGAAGACAAACCAAUCCAGUUUUCCUUCUUUAAUCGCGCCAAUUGCAAAACUGGUCAUAUCCAAAAGGGUUCGGGAAAAAACGUCCGUCUACCCGAAAAUUGUCUGCCCGGCUAAUAUCAAAGGGAUAUAAGAUCUCUAGGGAGACAGUGAGAAGGUACUUGAAGGACUCUCUGGGCACUAAUGCCUACAAAGGGCCCUCCAAACCCUUGCUCACCGAUCAAAUGAAGAAGAAGAUGUUGCCAUUUGCAAUUGACAAGAAGUGGUGGUCUGUAGAGGACCAGAAACUUGUGGUUUGGUCGGAUGAGAGCUUCUUCCAGAUCCGUGGCUCAAAAGUCCCCAAAAUGACAGGGGUUGGGUUAGGAAAAAGCAAGUUGUUCCCCCUCUCUCAGCUGUCAAGCAUCCCCUGAAGAUAAUGGUGUGGAAUGCAUUUGGGGCUUUGGGAAUCAAUGAGCUUCAUGUGGUGGACUGCGACAAGAGGAACAAGAGUGAUUACUAUCAGACUGAGAUUCUGGAAAAGUUUGCUCUGCCUGCAUUCACUUGCAACAGCUCUGUAGGAACAACUAGCACCUGCAAAUUUGUUAACCUGCCAUCGGAGUCCAUCUUCGUGCAAGACAAUGAUCCAUCACAUGCCUUCAAAUCAAGUCAGAAAUGGUGUUCUGAGCAUCUUUAGGGGUUCUGUAUAAAGUUCUGACUUGAAUCAGAUUAAAAAUCUGUGAGCAAUUAUGAAGGAAAAGUGCAAGAGCCUGACCACUUGCACAUCCAAAGAAAAGCUCGUUCAGGAAGACAAAACUGUAUGAUAAUCUCUAGACCCCAAAAUCUUGAAGAAUAUGGUUGUAUACAUACAUGGUGGAAUCAGAGAAGUCAUCAAGUAGAAGGGAGACAUAUUCUGUAGAUUUUUGUAUGUCAGUCUUUUUCCCUAUGAAAUAAACGGUAGUUUCUUCAGCAACAAUAUUUUUGUGUCACACCUUCAAUCCGACUCGUAAUUAUGUCUCAUGUUCUUAAAUUAAUCGAUUUCUCAAUUUAUAAUUAUAUUUAUCAUUUUAACUUAAUAAUUUUAUUUUAUACUCAGACAAAUAAGAACUUUCGAUAUUCAUUUAACAUAUUUUUUUAACAUUACUUUAAAAAUAGUUUUUAUUUCGUAUAUAAUGAUAAAAAUACAAUAUUGGAAGUAAAAUCA